CCACCCUCUGCCUUGUACUCAGUUACCUGUUUGUGACUAGCUAGGCUUCAUGGCAGCCAUUUUGUGAUUAGCCAUGCUCUCCCAAUGGCAGCCAUUUUGUGGUGAUGCCCACCAGUUUCUCAAAUUUCUACAUGCGCUCAGCAAUAUGGAGUGCUUAACAACAGAAUAUGGCAGAAUAAGAUUAACCAGAAAAUGUAUUGGCAUCUUGUCUGUCUUCUAUUUCCACUUCUCAUUAAAGUUUCAAAACUAGUUUUGCUGCCAAAAGUAACGUCCCACUUAAAUAUUCAGAAGCAGAUAGGUGGUAUAUCACAACACUAAAACAAAUAAUCCUUAUGGGGAAAUGUGGCGUGCAUUCCCAGAAGCUUAAACAGAAUAAGAAGUUCAUGACGAUUAAUCAUCUUUCACUUUCUUGUGCUUCCUUUUAAUUGUGUGAAUCUACAGCAAAGGACCAAUUUGUAGACAUUUUUUCAGCAAACCAGAGACAGGCUUAGAUUGUAGUCUGUGGCUAUCAGCCUUAAGUACAACACCGCUCUUGGGAGUUGUUUUCUAGCUGAAUUAACUUUGUACAAUGCUGAUGAAAGACAGAUACUAAAAAUUAAAUCUUGAUAAAUGUGGUUCUUUUUUAAAAAGCAAAAAAAUGUACUACACAUUUUGUUUAUCAGCAUACAAUAUAAAGGAAACCACGUUGCUGAGUAGUUGCUUUCCCUUUACCUCUAAUAAUCUGAUACUGAAGGCAUGGAACAAACCAAAACACAGAUGGGACCAAAUGUUGAGUUGUAGGACUCUACUUUUCUCAUACUGGAAGUAUCCACAGUUCAAGGACUGCAGGAAAUUUGCAGUAACAGUCAGAAGCAUACAUAUGGGUCAGCCAUUAAGUGCUACUUAAUGAGGGGUUCAGCAAGGAUAAUGUCCACUCCUACUUCAAUCUCCCUGAGUUGGAAAGCAAACAAUCAGGGAGCUUCCUAUUCUCACAGAGGGCCCACACACUCACAGGUUUGCCCUCCAACUGGGCCUGGCCCACCAAUAAGGCAAGUGGAGGCGACCACCUCAUCUUGCUGCUAGUUAUGGAACCUCUUGGGACAGUCUUAUUUGCUUUGUUAUGAAAUUCCCUUCAUAUUAAGACACUUAUCAUUUCUCAUUGUCUAUAAUGGAUUAGGAUGUAAUUUGCAAAUGGAUCUCUUGUUUUAAAGUUACGCUUGCAAUAAAAUAACCAGAGCCAAUUUCAGAAAUAUCUUUUGUGUAAUUGUGAAAUAAUGAAAAGACACCCUUGGGAAUCUGCUUCAACAUCGAAAUGGCUUAAAACAUUUUGGAAGAUUGCGAUGGAAUAUAUUGUUGAAUUGAAACAAUAUAAAUGUGAAACUCUUCAGUUCAAAUUGAUGAGUUCAUUAGAAAUUAAUGGUAGCAAAACAAGGGGGAAUGACAGCUUGUUUCUGGGUCUGGCUUGUGAAACACACAGGUAUGUAAUUGCUUUUGAAAACAAUUAAGACAAAAAUGUGAAGCUGGUAUAUAAGCCUAUUGUAUAAAGUAUACAGAAUAUAUAUCCUUUGAAUAUCUCAAAUGACACUCCAUCCCUAUGAUCCUCUUGAGUGUUAAGAUCAGGAGAGGAAAGUCUCUCAGUAGUUCCACCACCCUCAGAAGUGUGGGGAAUGGUGACCCAAAGAGGGCUUUUUCUGUGGCAGUCCCUGUGUUGUAAAAUUCAGUCCCCACAGAGGUGCAUCUAGCACUGUCAUGAUUCAACUUCCGCUGCUUGCUGGAAACACACUUCUUUAUCCUAGUCUUAGUUCUACACGGAUCUUUAGUUUCACCACAUAAUCUCUGUUGAGACAUUUCAUACCCUGAAAUACCCUGUUCCGGCCAGCACUCUGCGAAGAUGGCGCUCCACCAGGGGAACAGAAAAUCUGGAAGCUGACUUCUUUAUAGGCAAUAUUGUUCGGAAGAGAAAAGUAACAUGAAAAAC